CCUACGGGAGGCAGCAGUAGGGAAUAUUGCUCAAUGGGGGAAACCCUGAAGCAGCAACGCCGCGUGGAGGAUGAAGGUUUUAUGAUUGUAAACUCCUUUUGUUAGAGAAGAUAAUGACGGUAUCUCACGAAUAAGCCCCGGCCAACUCCGUGCCAGCAGCCGCGGUCAUACGGCGGGUGCAAGCGUUACUCGGAAUCACUGGGCGUAAAGAGUGCGCAGGCGGGCUUGUAAGUCAGAUGUGAAAUCCUGUAGGUUAACUACAGAACUGCAUUUGAAACUAUGAGUCUAGAGUGCGGGAGAGGUAGGUGGAAUUCUUGGUGUAGGGGUAAAAUCCGUAGAUAUCAAGAGGAAUACUCAUUGCGAAGGCGACCUACUGGAACAUUACUGACGCUCAUGCACGAAAGCGUGGGGAGCAAACAGGAUUAGAUACCCUUGUAGUC
rnacentral:rRNA from 1 species